UAACUGAAAGUGAAGAGGAGAAGGAUGGACAGAGAAUACUCCUUGCAUGGCUGCUGCCUUGUUGGCAGUGUCUGGUGGCCUCAACAACCAGGAGCUGGGCCUCUUCUUGACCACACCUGGGAAGUGCUGUUUCCGGUUCUUCAUUUAGACUGGCCCUCCUCCAGUGCAGUCUGUUCAAGGUCAGGAGCCCUAAAAUGCCACAAGAGGGCCUCAGAUCCCCAACACUGGAGCUGCUGGUCAGCUCCUUUACCCCAGGAGUUUCAGUGACUGGUAGGUUUUCAGUACCAGACCACUAGAAUGAGAGUAAUCAUACAACAGCCCCUCCUGCUGUCUGGAUUCACAAGCUGAGCGUCUCAGCCCUCCAUGAAGUGUGUGCAGUCCAUGAGGACACCCUGGCAUUGGUGUGCAGAGCAGGACGGAUAUAGACAAGUGAUUUUGAAAUUCAUAUGGAAGAAGAGGAACUAGAAUAAUUAGAAAAUAUUUUGUAAAAUAACACAAUGGGGAAGACUCAGCAUCACAGAUGUAUUCCCAGCAUGUUUGUGAAUUCAGGGCAACCUGGGCUAAUGACACAAUGGGAGGACUCAGUGUCACAGCUGUGAUCCCAGCGGGUUUGUGAGUUUGAGGGCAGCCUGGGUUAAUGAGGCCAACAUUGGCAACAAAAAAAGAGUUGUUUGUUCACUCAAAAAUUUGAUAUUAAAGGAAGCCACAUUGAUCAAAACAGUAUGGUAUUGAUGGAAGACUAGACCCAUAGAUAAAUGGAUAAAUGCAGAAUUCAGGAGUAGACAGACAUGUGUAGUCAUUUUCAUUUUGAUGAACAUGCUAAAGAAACUUGGGUGGAGAAAAGAUAGUGUUUUCCAGCAAAUGGUGUGGAAACAGUUGUCCAUUUACAUAAACUUUUUGAUCUAAAUUUCAUACUUUAUGUUCAGAAUAAAAAUGAGUUGCAUAUCUUGAUGAAAAGCAUGAAACUAUGAAUGCUCUAGAAGAAAACAUUAGGAAACAUUUGGAACCUUAGAGCAGAAAAAAGUUCUUACACAUGACACCAAAAAGAAGCAUAAAUUAAAAAAAAAAUUGAAGUUAAGCAAAAUUAAAAUCUUUUUGCCAAAGAUUACUAGCAGGAUUAAAAGGUAACUGAAGAAAAUGUUGUAAAUCAAAUUCAUAUCAAAGGGCAUGACUGGGAAUCUACAAAGAACUGUCAAGGUCAGCAGGGGCCUGGAGAUGUGGCCCCGUGGUUAAGAGCAGUGGCUGUUUUUGUCAAGGAUUGCUUCCCAGCACCCACGUGGUGAUUCACAAACAUCUGUCACUCCAGCUCCAGGGGACCCCACGCCCUCUUCUGACUUCCGUGGACACCAGACACACAUGUGGAGCAAAGGCUUUCAUGUACACAUAUGUGUAUACGAUAUUCAGACACUUAUAUUCAUAAAAGUAAGUCGUUUUUUAAGGAGGGGACAAUGUGAUUUUUUUUAAGGAAAAAAAUGCAGACACUUUGCUAAGAGGAAUUAGGGACAGGAAUAGGACACAAAAGGAUCCCCAGCAUCAUUAGCUGCUUAGGAGAAGCAGACACAGCGGUACACAGUGGGACACAUACGGUAUCCUAUCACAUCAGAAUGACUACCAUUGAAAAUGUCGGCACUACCAGGAGCUGGUGAGCGCAGAGCAACUGAGCACACGUUACUGCUUCUCUUGCGAGCCCGAGUGCAGAAUAGCGUAGCUGGCCUGGAAGACAUUUGGCAGCUGUAUAUGGCGUCAGGCAUACACUUACAUUGACCCAGUUACACCCUUCUUGAGUGUUAGCCUAGAGAGCGAAAACUAUGUUUGUACAAAGACCAAGCCGGUGUGUUUACAGAAGGUCUGGUCUGUUCCUUGAAAUCAAACACGGAGAGUCCAGUUGUCCCGCAGCGGGUGGAUACACUGUGCCCACUCACAAGCCUUGCAUACACUGGACUCAACGAUGAAGAUGGAUAAACACAGGGCAAAGUGAGUGAGUCUCAAAGGUGUCACUGAGUGAAAGCAGCCAGUCUUGAAAGGCGACAUGUAUCUCCCAUUCACACCCUCUCUGGAAGGCAGAAGCCAUGGAGCACAGAGGACUUCAGAGAGGAAGAACAAAAGAUUUGAGUAUGAAGGACAGCACAGGGUCACGGGGGGAUGGAGCUUAGUCUGGAGUUUUAUUUUGAUGGUAAUCACACACACACACACACACAC